GACGAACGCUGGCGGCGUGCCUAAUACAUGCAAGUCGAACGAGAGCGGCCGGUGCUUGCACUGGUCAAUCUAGUGGCGAACGGGUGAGUAACACGUGGGUAACCUGCCCAUCAGAGGGGGAUAACAUUCGGAAACGGAUGCUAAAACCGCAUAGGUUCUACAGUCGCAUGACUGAAGAAGGAAAAGAGGCUUCGGCUUCUGCUGAUGGAUGGACCCGCGGUGCAUUAGCUAGUUGGUGAGGUAACGGCUCACCAAGGCCGUGAUGCAUAGCCGACCUGAGAGGGUGAUCGGCCACAUUGGGACUGAGACACGGCCCAAACUCCUACGGGAGGCAGCAGUAGGGAAUCUUCCGCAAUGGACGCAAGUCUGACGGAGCAACGCCGCGUGAGUGAAGAAGGAUUUCGGUUCGUAAAACUCUGUUGUUAGAGAAGAACAGCGCAUAGAGUAACUGUUAUGCGUAUGACGGUAUCUAACCAGAAAGCCACGGCUAACUACGUGCCAGCAGCCGCGGUAAUACGUAGGUGGCAAGCGUUGUCCGGAUUUAUUGGGCGUAAAGCGAGCGCAGGCGGUCAAUUAAGUCUGAUGUGAAAGCCCCCGGCUCAACCGGGGAGGGUCAUUGGAAACUGGUUGACUUGAGUGCAGAAGAGGAGAGUGGAAUUCCAUGUGUAGCGGUGAAAUGCGUAGAUAUAUGGAGGAACACCAGUGGCGAAGGCGACUCUCUGGUCUGUAACUGACGCUGAGGCUCGAAAGCGUGGGUAGCAAACAGG
rnacentral:rRNA from 1 species